AACGAACGCUGGCGGCAUGCCUAACACAUGCAAGUCGAACGAGACCUUCUGGUCUAGUGUCGCACGGGUGCGUAACGCGUGGGAACCUUCCCUUAUGUUCGGAAUAACUCCCCGUAAGUUGUUCUAAUACCGGAUAAUGUCUUCGGACCAAAGAUUUAUCGCCUUUGGAUGGGCCCGCGUUGUAUUAGCUAGUUGGUAGGGUAAAAGCCUACCAAGGCGACGAUCCAUAGCUGGUCUGAGAGGAUGAUCAGCCAAACUGGGACUGAGACACGGCCCAGACUCAUACGGGAGGCAGCAGUGGGGAAUAUUGGAAAAUGGGCGAAAGCCUGAUCAAGCAAUGCCGGGUGAGUGAAGAAGGCAUUAGGGUUGUAAAGCUCUUUUACACGGGAUGAUAAUGACAGUACCGGGAGAAUAAGCUAGGGCUAACUCCGUG
rnacentral:rRNA from 1 species